UGGCAACACUGACUCAGUGGACAUGAAUUUGAGCAGACUCGGGGAGAUGGUGAAGGACAGGGAAGCCUGGCGUGCUGCAUUCCGUGUGGUCGCCGAGUCGGACACAGCUGAGCGACUGAACAAGGCAUAGAGAACACAUGAAAAAGACAGACUGAGCAGAAACAACCCAGUGGAUGUAUUAACUGCACAGUUUCUCACGGCUGAAUCACUGAGUACAAGACAAUAUGUAGAGAUGUGAAAGACUAGGGAAAUGAUAUCUAAAAGCAAAAGACAAAAAGCAAAUUUGAGUGAUUUUCUUAUUCGAGUUCAAAAUGUGUUAUAAAGCACCGGAGACAACUCACAACAUAAACAAUGCAUUUGGCCCGGGAACUGCUAACGAACAUACAAUGCAGUGUGGUUCAAGUUUAGCAAAGGAGACAAGAGCUUUGAAGAUGAGGAGUACAGUGGCUGGCCAUCGGUGGUUGACAAUACCAAUUGAGAGAGAGAAGUUAACAAAGAACUCAACAUCGACUAUUCUAUGAUCAUUCAGUACUUGAUGCAAAGUGGAAAGGUGAAAAAGCUCAGUAAAUGGGUGCUGUGUGAGCUGACCAAAAAUUUUAAAAAUUGUUGUUUUGAAGUGUUAUCUACUCUUACUUUAUGCAACAACAAUGAACCAUUUCUUGUUCAGAUUGUGACAUGCGACAGAAAGUGGAUUUUAUAACUAUUGCCAAACCACUCAGUGAUUGGACCAAGAAGCUCCAAAGCACUUCCCAAAGCCAAACUUGCACCA